AUGGACCUCCACUCAGCAGGACUUCAAGCAGGACAGAGUUCAGGACAACUGGCCAGCUUUCCCCUCUGGGAUAUUUCAAAAGCAACAAGUAUGGCAGGAGACACUCUGCUUCGUCAACUUGGUUACUUCCUGUGCUGUGGAUCAGAGAAGUUGUCCUGGAGAUGUCCUCCGACUGCAAGAGAAGUCAUCAUCUGUGUCCUGAGAAGUCAGCAAGCAUCCUUGGCUAAGCCUCAGAGAUGCAGCAGCCACAGCCAGGAGAAGUGUGCGGGCUUGCAGAAAAGUCCAGAAGCUGCAUUUCAUCAAGGCCAGGCUUGGGGUGAAGGCAGUGGGUUAUGUUGUGUGAGGGAAGGGUUAGAUCCCAUCAUUGUUUUAGUUAUUACAAUUUGAUGUUCCUUUCAUCAUGAUUUCUUUACAUUAAUUUUGGAUUUUUAAAAAUAUUGCACUAAAGUAUUAUUUACCUUGAUUACUCGUAUUUUGGCCUUCCCUUCCAUUUGGCAUCUGAGGGGUGCAUCUCACUUUGUUCACCCCAGUCCCAGCCCUGUGAGGAAGCAGCAGUUUCUGGACUUUUCUGCAAACCCCAUACUUUGUGCAUGGGAACUUACCCCCUCAGUUGGUUUUUCUCUUGCAUCUGGGAGAGCCAGGAGCUCAGGAGCUGGAGCCCAGAGUGUGUCUGCCUCCAAUAAAUUCUCUUCCAGAGCCUCCUUCA
rnacentral:lncRNA from 12 species